AAAGCUUAAAUUUUAUUAAGAGACGAGAAGACCCUAUAGAGUUUUAUAAUUAAUAAUUUAUUAAUUUUUAAGUAUUAUUUUAUUAAUAUUUUAUUAAUUAUUUUGUUGGGGCGAUAAAAAAAUAUAAUUAACUUUUUUUAAUAAAUUAAUACAUUAAUUUAUGACUUUGUGAUCCAUUAUUUAUGAUUAGAAGAUUAAGUUACCUUAGGUAUAACAGCGUUAUUUUUUUUUAGAGUUCUUAUCGAAAAAAAAGAUUGCGACCUCGAUGUUGGAUUAAAAUUAAUAUUUGGUGUAGAAGCUAAAUUAUUAGGUCUGUUCGACCUUUAAAAUUUUACAUGAUCUGAGUUUAAACCGGCGUAAGCCAGGUUGGUUUCUCUCUUUAAUUAAUUAAAAUAUUUUAGUACGAAAGGACCAAAUAUUUAUAAUAUUUAUUAAUUUUUGAAUUAUAUUAG
rnacentral:rRNA from 1 species